GUACACAAAAAUGCACAUACUGUGAGCUCGAUGAGUAGGGCGGGACACGUGGUAUCCUGUCUGAAUAUGGGGGGACCAUCCUCCAAGGCUAAAUACUCCUGACUGACCGAUAGUGAACCAGUACCGUGAGGGAAAGGCGAAAAGAACCCCGGCGAGGGGAGUGAAAAAGAACCUGAAACCGUGUACGUACAAGCAGUGGGAGCCUCUUAAUGGGGUGACUGCGUACCUUUUGUAUAAUGGGUCAGCGACUUAUAUUCUGUAGCAAGGUUAACCGAAUAGGGGAGCCGAAGGGAAACCGAGUCUUAACUGGGCGUUAAGUUGCAGGGUAUAGACCCGAAACCCGGUGAUCUAGCCAUGGGCAGGUUGAAGGUUGGGUAACACUAACUGGAGGACCGAACCGACUAAUGUUGAAAAAUUAGCGGAUGACUUGUGGCUGGGGGUGAAAGGCCAAUCAAACCGGGAGAUAGCUGGUUCUCCCCGAAAGCUAUUUAGGUAGCGCCUCGUGAAUUCAUCUCCGGGGGUAGAGCACUGUUUCGGCAAGGGGGUCAUCCCGACUUACCAACCCGAUGCAAACUGCGAAUACCGGAGAAUGUUAUCACGGGAGACACACGGCGGGUGCUAACGUCCGUCGUGAAGAGGGAAACAACCCAGACCGCCAGCUAAGGUCCCAAAGUCAUGGUUAAGUGGGAAACGAUGUGGGAAGGCCCAGACAGCCAGGAUGUUGGCUUAGAAGCAGCCAUCAUUUAAAGAAAGCGUAAUAGCUCACUGGUCGAGUCGGCCUGCGCGGAAGAUGUAACGGGGCUAAACCAUGCACCGAAGCUGCGGCAGCGACACUAUGUGUUGUUGGGUAGGGGAGCGUUCUGUAAGCCUGUGAAGGUGUACUGUGAGGUAUGCUGGAGGUAUCAGAAGUGCGAAUGCUGACAUAAGUAACGAUAAAGCGGGUGAAAAGCCCGCUCGCCGGAAGACCAAGGGUUCCUGUCCAACGUUAAUCGGGGCAGGGUGAGUCGACCCCUAAGGCGAGGCCGAA
rnacentral:rRNA from 1 species